CUCAUUUAACUCUUAUUGAAAAAUAGACAAGACAUUAUAACGUAACUGUCAAAAAAACUGACACUAUUCAUACCCAGUUAAUAAGUCAAUCUAAACUAGAAUUUGACGCUAAUAGGUAAUGUAUGAAAAGUCUAAUUGAUAUGACAAUUUUUUGAGUAUCUAAAGACUGACUUGACACUAUGAAAACAGAUCAUCAUUAAAUCAAGAUAGGGAACUAAUUUAAAUGAUCUAAUCAAGGAAUUUCAACAAAACCUGUGUUUUAUUUUCCAAGCAUAUACCCAUAUUUUCUGAAAUAUUUAACAAAGAAACAAAUUACACUAGUCACCAUAUUCGAAAUAAAAUAAUUGAAAUAUGUGCAAAUAGCGAAAAAGAGUAAAAAGUAUAAUGUGUGAUGAAGCAAGUUUUAGAUUUUAUAAAGAAGAACAAGUGUUUAAUAUUAUUUUGAAACUUAUAAAUUAAAUACUAAAGCUCAAAUAAUUUCACAAUCCUAUAAUGGUUGGAAUUUCUGUGGAAAUAUCAUGUCUGGAAAUUGAAUGGAAUCAAUCAAGAAUAAGAAUUGGUAUGCUUUAUAGAAUAAAUCUUUUGGUUGCA